GGAGCAGGAGCUGCAGUCUGUUGCGUUGCCGCCCACGGCUCGGCCUCGUGCCCCGCAGGGUGGCGUUGCCUGGAGGAUCGGUGACGGCUCGGAGCGGCCGGAGAGGGGGUGGAGCUGGGGGUUCCAGCUGUCCCUCCCCCGAGGGGUCAGAGGCGGAGAGAGCUGCCCCUCCUUGGGUACAGCCUCCCCCACGUGCCGCUUCGCAGCACAGCGAGGGGAUCUGUCACCCUCGGCCCCCAAUAAGGUGCGGGCAGAAGAGGGUAGCGCUUUGGUUUCCUUCCCUAUCGGGCAAGAGAUCUGACGGUGUCCACUUAAAUCCUGCAUUGCGCUAGGGCACAACCAUGGCUUCAGGGAGUGUUGCAAAACCAAAGGCUUGCCCAGAAGUCGUUGCACAAAGGUGAACCUAUAUUGCCGGCCAGCCCAUGGCGGUGGGAGUGAGAGACACCAUGCGCACGCCUGAUUCACUAUCGCCCUGACAACAUCCCCAGGAGGCUACUACACUCUUCUUUCCCUUGUUUGGAGGCCUCCAUGACUUAGUGUUUGGGGCUAAGGGAAAGAAUUGAUCGUAUCUGAAACCCUGUGAAAGGAGGAAUGAUUUAAAAUCUUUAAUGUUGGAACAGAAAUAAAAUCACACCUUUGAAAUACCGGAUACACCUUCUGACUGUACGAGACUUUAGAAACUGCAGGGGGAGUUGUGUAUACUACGUACCUGAAAAGAGUCCUGGGUAGUACCAAGCACUUGGAGCCAAGGUUAUACAGUAUUAGAUAGGUGCAUCAACCAACUGCUUAAGUUCUUUCUGUUGAACGUCAGAGUCCAACAUUUAGACCAUAACCCUGAGGAAGAAGAGAAGGUGGGCAGAUCCUGUGAUUAUGCAGGGACAAAACUCUUUCUGAGGACUCCAGUAACUUGGUGACUGAACAUGUUAAAAUGGCCCACAAGAUAAUAGUGCACAGAGACUUCUGAGAGGAAUUCACUCACAAGGGAAGACUCAGCCUUUAAGCAG